rnacentral:rRNA from 1 species
AUUCAAUAGCGGAGGAAAAGAAACCAACAGGGAUUGCCUCAGUAACGGCGAGUGAAGCGGCAACAGCUCAAAUUUGAAAUCUGAAGUUUUUAACUUCCGAGUUGUAAUUUGAAGAGGAUGCUUCGGUUGUGGCUUGGGCCUAAGUUCCUUGGAACAGGACGUCGUAGAGGGUGAGAAUCCCGUACACGGCUACCGGCUUUCAAUCAUGUGUAGCUCCUUCGAAGAGUCGAGUUGUUUGGGAAUGCAGCUCAAAAUGGGUGGUAAAUUUCAUCUAAAGCUAAAUACUGGCGAGAGACCGAUAGCGCACAAGUAGAGUGAUCGAAAGAUGAAAAGCACUUUGAAAAGAGAGUUAAACAGUACGUGAAAUUGUUGAAAGGGAAGCGUUUGCAAUCAGACUUGCUUGCGGUUGAUCAACGUUCCUUCUGGUUCGUGCACUCUGCCGUUUGCAGGCCAGCAUCGGUUAGGGCGGUGGGACAAAGGCUCCAGGAAUGUGGCUCUCUUCGGGGAGUGUUAUAGCCUGGUGCGUAAUGCCACCUGUUCUGACCGAGGUCCGCGCUUUUGCUAGGAUGCUGGCGUAAUGAUUGUAAACGACCCGUCUUGAAACACGGACCAAGGAGUCUAACAUCUAUGCGAGUGUUUGGGUGUCAAACCCAUGCGCGAAAUGAAAGUGAACGGAGGUGGGAGUCUUCGGAUGCACCAUCGACCGAUCCUGAUGUCUUCGGAUGGAUUUGAGUAUGAGCAUAGCUGUUGGGACCCGAAAGAUGGUGAACUAUGCCUGAAUAGGGUGAAGCCAGAGGAAACUCUGGUGGAGGCUCGCAGCGGUUCUGACGUGCAAAUCGAUCGUCAAAUUUGGGUAUAGGGGCGAAAGACAAUCGACAUUGC